CAGAACUGUAGAUUCAUGUUUUGGAAAACGACUGACCAAAAAGCCUUCAGGAAGCUUAAGUGUUCCUUAAAAACUAUCGUGGGAUUGUGUAAAGGCUUGUUUUCCCUUGGGCUUGAUUGGCUUCUUCAGAGCUACAUCGGAAAAAGUCUUCUCUGAUGCUGUUAUGCUGUUGGACUCCAAAUAUACUUCUGGCAAGUUUCAAUCUUCCUUACAAUUCAAUAACAGUUUUAUCUCAUUGUUUUACCUUGGGAUUGUUGAAAGUGGGAUUUUUUAAAAUAACGUAUUGAACAAUACAUCUGAAACUAAUGAUGUACUCUAAGUUGGUUAACUGUUUAAAAAAAAUAAGAUAAAAUAACUUUUUGUUUUCCAUACAACAAAAUGCACAAUUCUUAAAUAUCCAGUUCAAGGAUUUGUAACACAUGUAUGCACCUGUGUAACAACGGCUCAAAACAAUACAGAAUCCUUCCGUUUCACCUGGGAGAGAUCUCACACUUUUCGAGGUGAUCUCCACGCCCUGCAUGCAGAACCAAGUUGUGAUUCCUGUAACUAGAAAGCAGUUUUCCCUGUUCUAGAACUUUAUAUAAAUGCAAUCACAGGA